GACGUAGGGUGCAAGCGUUGUCCGGAUUUAUUGGGGCGUAAAGAGCUCGUAGGCGGCUCGUCGCGUCGGCCGUGAAAACCUAGGGCUUAACCCUGGGCUUGCGGUCGAUACGGGCGGGCUAGAGUUCGGUAGGGGAGACUGGAAUUCCUGGUGUAGCGGUGAAAUGCGCAGAUAUCAGGAGGAACACCGGUGGCGAAGGCGGGUCUCUGGGCCGAUACUGACGCUGAGGAGCGAAAGCGUGGGGAGCGAACAGG
rnacentral:rRNA from 1 species